GAAAUUAAACCUUGAAAUUCUUGUUGCGCUUAAUUUAAAAAAAAAUUUAAUAUUUUCUUUAAAUUAAUAUUUGAAAUUUUUUGAAAUGCUUGUAUAUGCUACUGUCUAUAUAAGAAAAUAAUGGUUUAUGCUUGAAUGCAUAUAUUUAAGCAUAGCCAAAGAUAAAUUUUAUUAACUAUUUCGUUGUUCUAUUUACUCUUUCUCCUAAAACUGUUGUAAUCUAUUCUAAUUAUCAUUAAUCUUCUUGUAUUUUAUAAGAUUCUUCAAGAAUCAUUUCAGAUUUUUAUCAAGAAAAACACUUGGUAGUGCCGACAACGUAAAGCUGCAUUUGCGUGACAAUGAGUGAAAGAAAGGAAGGACACGACAUAAGUUCUUCAAUCUUUGUAAAGGGUCCCAGAUCUCUCGCUUCUAUGUCCCAAAGGAAUGCUUUCCUGCCAAAUGGCGUGUGAGAGAAAAGGAAAAUGAUUCUUCCCUUCGUUCGUUCGUGAAUAGAUGUGAUUCCGUUUCAUCUAUACUGUAUUUUAUAAUUUUUUUAGACCGAAAUACUUCAUAGCUAUAUAUGAAUAUUUGUAUUAUUUUUUAUUUAAAGUAAUGGAAAUAAGUUUAAGAAAAGAGAUUGUUGUAUUGUAUAAUUGUAUAGGAGCAUCUAAAUAUAGUUUAAUCUCUGAAGGAAAUAGAAAAGCGUCCAUUAGAUGGAAAUAAAAAUCGGGCCUUCCUCCAUCGAUUUCCUCACUCUAUCAUCCGAGCUCUCGGAGCGGAAGUUUGUUUUCUUUAUGUUGAAAACAAAGUCCCUCUUGAUAGGGACUGACUCUCCCUUGAUACGAAGAAAAAGUCGCGAUGCCCCUUACCUUUCUCCUCUCGCGUAUUUGCAUUUAAAUAACUGCAUUAAAAUAAAAACACACACAUACUAUAGCGCCAAUGCGGAUGCCGAAAGAACUGUUUGGACCAGCAUUUGGUGAAGAGAAACUGCACUAGGCAAAACAUUGAAUCGAUUAGUUGUCUCCCCCGCAGGAUUAAGGGGAAUGUCGGGGUAGUAGAGACGCCCUGUGAUUUAACAUCCGGAACGGUUCCGGCCGCUCGCACGCGGUCGGGCUCUGGCUGGCCUACAAAGAAUAGUGAGGGAAGAAAACAUUACUCUUCUUCUUUUUCUUUUGUCUCUUUUUUUCUAGAGAGAUUCUGCGGAGACCGAGAGCUGGAAUUUCAGUUUAAUGGUUUAGUUACGUGAGGGAAUUGUGGCCGAGGAGAGAGAGAAAGAGAGAGAGAAAGCAAUCGAGCGACUCGCUUCGCAAUUAUCCCCCUCCACGCCAGCAGUCUAUUUCUCUAAGUAGGCAGAAAGGGAGAAAGAGAAAGAACCAAGAGAUAGGUCCCUUGUGUACUAACGAGAUACCUCGAGAUUGGUUCAAUGGUGUUCGUAGAACUGACCAGAAGAGUCGAUUGAUUCAUGCCCAGUUCCUUUUUAACUUUUUCUUCUAUUUCUGUCUUAUUUCUAUCUUUAUGUCUUUUUGAUGUAAUCCGGAAAGUACUAUGUGUUAUGGUUAGCCUUCGUUCUAACUGUAUGGACUAAUAUUGUUUCACUCACUCCUUAAAACUUCUUUCCUUUAUCAAUCUUUCAAUGUUUUUUCAUUCUCUUCCAUUAGAUGAUCGAUACUAUACGUAUUUGGUCGAAGGCAAAACCCAGCCACUGCGUCGAAGUUCUCACGUUUUCCCAGUGGUUUAAAGGAGAGUUACAAAGUGAAAAAACAUAGCAGUUUGUGAAGUGUUGAUGGUGUGUUUACUGUGUUAUUUACACGUGCCCUCAUUUUACUCAACUACGACUAAACUUCUUAACAAAAAAGUCCACUGGGAGUUAAAGAAGGUUUUUUGUCUUAUUUUCGAUUGCUGCUUUUAAGAAAGUCUUUAGAUUGUUUGAUUUCGUCUUUUUUUACUAAAUAUUAUUUUAGAAAUGGAUCUUUCUG
rnacentral:lncRNA from 1 species